CUUGGUCAUUUAGAGGAAGUAAAAGUCGUAACAAGGUCUCCGUUGGUGAACCAGCGGAGGGAUCAUUACCGAGUUUACAACUCCCAAACCCAAUGUGAACCAUACCAAACUGUUGCCUCGGCGGGGUCCCGCCCCGGGUGCGUCGCAGCCCCGGAACCAGGCGCCCGCCGGAGGGACCAACCAAACUCUUUCUGUAGUCCCCUCGCGGACGUUAUUCCUUACAGCUCUGAGCAAAAAUUCAAAAUGAAUCAAAACUUUCAACAACGGAUCUCUUGGUUCUGGCAUCGAUGAAGAACGCAGCGAAAUGCGAUAAGUAAUGUGAAUUGCAGAAUUCAGUGAAUCAUCGAAUCUUUGAACGCACAUUGCGCCCGCCAGUAUUCUGGCGGGCAUGCCUGUCCGAGCGUCAUUUCAACCCUCGAACCCCUCCGGGGGGUCGGCGUUGGGGAUCGGGAACCCCUAAGACGGGAUCCCGGCCCCGAAAUACAGUGGCGGUCUCGCCGCAGCCUCUCCUGCGCAGUAGUUUGCACAACUCGCACCGGGAGCGCGGCGCGUCCACGUCCGUAAAACACCCAACUUCUGAAAUGUUGACCUCGGAUCAGGUAGGAAUACCCGCUGAACUUAAGCAUAUCAAUAAGCGGAGGA
rnacentral:rRNA from 1 species